UAGUUGGUAGUAUAUGUGGAAGUACGAAAAGUUUUGGGCUUUUUAGUUUGAGUUCGACCCUCAGCCUUCUAG
rnacentral:tRNA from 1 species